CGAUCCUUGUGUCAAUCUAAAGUGACAAGCUAACUGUCAACAUGUUCAAGUCCUUCUUGGUGAUGUUCGUCGCUGUGCUGCUGAUUGGCGGUAGCCAUCAGGCACCGCAGUCAACAUCUUCAGGUGCCGGUACUGGUGGAAAUGCAGGAGGAGGAGCCCAGGCCGGCGCAGGUUUCAGCUUUGGCGCAGGGGUAGGAGGCAACGCAGGCGCGGGCGCGGGUGCGGGCGGCUCAGGU